AUGGACUUCCAUGACAGAGACAAUUUGGAGAGAUCAAUUUGCAUCUCAGACAUACCAUAUUAUAAUUUGGUUGCCCUAAUAGAGAUAGAGGGAUAUGGGCUUAAUGAUUUCAUGUAUUUUGUGAGGGGUCCUGGUGUGGGGAUUGCAGGAAUGGAUGAAAUUUGUGAUGAUGAUAAGGUGGAUGAAAUGCUUGACCAUAUUGCUAACAAUGAUCAGCACGUAGUGAACUUGAUAGUGGUUAGGGGCACUGAUCCAAGACCUGCAGAUUUGAACUCAGGUUAUCUGGUUGAGGAGCAGGUUCCUUUGAGCCAUAUAGGAGAGAACCCUGUGUAUGUAGUAAAUCCUUCUAGUGUUCUCUUAAGAUCACCACCAAAAAGUAUAAUACAGAGUCAGCCAGAGCCAUUGCAGUUCUACACUACACAGCAGAGCACAAACCAUGAUCUGGAUACAAAUGCUGCCAUGGACCAAUCCAAUGCAGCACAUCAGGAUGAACUGGAGACAUUAAUGGAGUUGAAGAGGAGAACAAAGAUUGCCAAAUUUAGGAAACAUAAGAUUGCAGCUGAGCAUGUAAAUAAAGUUAAGCAGAAGCUACCAAUUCUUCUAACUGAAGAUGAUUCAGAUCUGGAUGCAGAUGAGGACUAUCUUCAGAGGCUUAAUGAGAUGAGGAAGCAAAGAGAGGAUCCACUCAUUCAUUUUGAUGGAGACACUGAUGUGGAUGAACUGUAUGAGGAAGAUGAGGAAGGGCAACAUGUGGAGGUGGAGCAAGAGGAGCAGGUGCACCAAGAGGAGCAGGUGGAGCAGCGUCAGCAGCAAGAGGUGCCUACAAAGAAGAAGAAUGCUAGGAAAGGGCCAACAGAGAGGAAUAUGAUGAUGGAGCUGAGGAAGUACAAUUUGUUCUACUCAAUGGAAGGAAGAGCAGAUCAGUGA
rnacentral:rRNA from 1 species